rnacentral:tRNA from 1 species
GUGGGCGCGCCGGAGUGGUUAUCGGGCAUGACUAGAAAUCAUGUGGGCUUUGCCCGCGUAGGUUUGAAUCCUACUGCUCAGG